AUAGUUUGGUCUCUCUCUGUCAUUGAUUGUACAAUGCACACGCGUACCAGUUCAGUUUGUGAGUGUGUGAUGUGGCGGUUGGAGCCAUGUUUAUUUCGACAUUAUAGAGAACAAUGAUCUGAGACUUGCUGGUUGAAGACACUAAUGUGGUUUGACUUUCGUAUUUCUCACAUGCACCUCCCUGACUUCACUCCUCUUUUCUCUGCAGUCGGUUGCUUUCGCUUUACCACUCAAACACGCCCAUUAUGUUCCAUAGCCGGAACAUGCUUGAUUUUUUUUUUAAACUCCUGUAUGGACUACUGACUAGUAGUUAUAAUCUUCAUGUUUUUUUUUAAAAGUUUAGCUAUAGGUUAAUUGUAGGAGUCGUGCUUUGCUUACCAACUGAGGUAUACGUUAUCCAUCAUUAUUUGAGGUGACCUUUUCGGGCAUUUACUACAGUGGGUGCGUCAUUUCUUGAACAGGCCAGUAGGUGGCACUCGUCCAUGGGUCGUGCAGGGAUCCUUUCGCUUUGAUGGAUUUAAAAAUGUUUCCUUCUGCUGCGCUCAGCGCUCCAUAUUCGUGUGCACCCACGGGCCCCAAAACGUGCGCGCAAAAUAUCACUUUGCUUUGUCCGCUGCUUUAAUAGACGGUUUUCCGUAUGGGUUGCCAACUGCCACAUCGUUGGUGAAUGAAUUUUAGGCCUACAUGAACAUUAAGGGUAUCCAUCUGGCAUUUCAUGAUAUUUGAAGUGUCGUUUUUAGUCUAUUGAACUAUUCUCUACUCUACUCCAUCUUUCCACUUGCUUUAUUUUCCCGCUGAACUUUGUCUGGGUCACUGAGCUGCCCCUUAUUUUCACAUGUGUCCUGCCCCGUUACUUUUUCUCCCCUCCCCUCAUGUGUUCACUUGCCCCUCCCACUAACACACUACUCUGCUCUCUCCUCUCCUCUCACUCUCUUCCUCUCUCUCUGGAACACUCAAACCCACAGGCGUACAGAGGAGACACUCCCACACACAGCAACUCUACAGACAUGUCAGACUCCGAGACCGCCGCUCCGGCUGAGGCCCCCGUCCCUGCCGCAUGUGAAAGCAUCAAGGUGGACCUGGACAAAUGGUCCACUGCAUUGAGUCCUCCAUGUUUACCAGUAUUCCCUUCUGCACAACGAGCACUGGGCUGAAUGAUACUGGCGGUGUUUGGCGCCUGGCAGAAACCCUCCACCUCUUACCUACCCCCCCCUCGAAGCUUAAAUGGUGUCUUCCGAUUUGUAUCCCCUGCUCUGCUCCCACCGUGGCUGAGUACAUCCAUUGGUAGACAAUUCCCAGAUAGCCCAUGGGUUUUAUGUAAGUUGUCCACUUAAGAUGCAUACAUUUAAAAUGGAAUAAUAAACUCUAAAAGAAAUUGGUAUAACAUUUUG
ensembl:lncRNA